UGGGGAAUAUUGGGCAAUGGGCGAAAGCCUGAUCCAGCCAUGCCGCGUGUGUGAAGAAGGUCUUCGGAUUGUAAAGCACUUUAAGUUGGGAGGAAGGGCAGUAAGCGAAUACCUUGCUGUUUUGACGUUACCGACAGAAUAAGCACCGGCUAACUCUGUGCCAGCAGCCGCGGUAAUACAGAGGGUGCAAGCGUUAAUCGGAAUUACUGGGCGUAAAGCGCGCGUAGGUGGUUCGUUAAGUUGAAUGUGAAAGCCCCGGGCUCAACCUGGGAACUGCAUCCAAAACUGGCGAGCUAGAGUAGGGCAGAGGGUGGUGGAAUUUCCUGUGUAGCGGUGAAAUGCGUAGAUAUAGGAAGGAACACCAGUGGCGAAGGCGACCACCUGGGCUCAUACUGACACUGAGGUGCGAAAGCGUGGGGAGCAAACAGG
rnacentral:rRNA from 1 species